GUUUCAGCCAAUCACUGCUGACGCUACAAUUCAACUGAUUUCAACUUCCCCGCCUCCUUCUCCUACAGUGAGGGAGUGCAACUCAACAUUUGCAAGUUUUGAGGGGACACUCAAGUCGCUCUGCCUACACCCAUAUCUCAUCUGUGGGCUCUCAGUGCUUCAGAUCACACAGCUGCCCUGUGAGGACAUCUAACAGAGAAUUAAAGGGUUUUCCUAGUUGGGUCAUUGACUCAACUCAGAGGCAGAGGUCCAGCUGCUGCUCCAGUCCCAACCCAACUCUUGCUUACCAUGCUGAUGCAUUUACAUGCUCCUGAUAGAUGAG